rnacentral:lncRNA from 1 species
UGAGCAUCUCACCAACGGAGUCUUCAUCUAACCAUUGUUCCUGGGUUUUUGAGACACAGUCUGGACACAUAGUUCGGGCUAGCUUAGAACUCAAUGCUGAGACCAGCCAAACAACCAGAGACCUGUUUCAGCGUGUUGAAGAGCCCAGAUGCAGAUCUCAACAGAGAGUUACCCACGUGUCAUCUGUCAUCGGAGAUGCUCUGUACAGAUAUGCCCAAAACAAAUAUGGUGCUCACGACUGAAGACCGGGCUUUUCUGGUUUUGUGAUUUGAGAGACUUUGGGAUCCUAGAAUGAAGGUCUUCUGGUAUUUAUAUUGGAAUAUGGUUUUUUGUUGCUUUUGCUACUGUUCAAGUUUUACGACUUGUUU